rnacentral:lncRNA from 1 species
UUCAUCUUGCGGCCUCCUUUUCAUCCCGUAUUUUCGGCAUUGUUGAUGAGUGCGUACUGGUUUGUUGCUCCUUAUUUUCUCUGCGGUUAACUGUCAGUGGUAUUACUUGCUUAGAAGCAGUUAGGAUGCUCCGGCUCCUCUCUGGAUUAACAGCAAUUGGUUAGUGAAUAGGAUGUUAGAUCCGGAGUUUGCUAACGCUACUUGUCUGUGUAGUCGAACCAUUUUAAGCUGUCGGUUGUAUGUCGUACAUAUUUUACUUGUUUCUUACUUGUGAGCCACUGUUAUUCCCAUCUCGGGUUGGAUCAUUUUGGUUUGUGUUGUCUUUUUUUUUUCCUUAGUUUUCAGUUGUAUUUUUUUCCUUUACUUCUUCUUUCUUUGUUUCUCUUUGUAACCUUUGUUUCUCUUUUUUUUAUUUCAUAUUUUUUUUAUUUCAAUAUGAAAGCCAUUUAAAAAAAUGUUAAUGGAACCAGUGAUCUAAAAAUCAACAUAACCGGCAUAUCAGGUCUAGAAGAAACAAGUUAUCAGAAUGGCUUAAAAAGAUGGGCAAGCGUCCGUCUAAUCAAAAAUUAUCUAUUUAAUGUCUAGAAAAAGAUCGGGCAAGACGUCUGCCUAAUCAAUAAUUAUCUAUAAAAUGCAUAUCUACCGCAUGGCGAAUUCUUAAAAUUACCAAUGGAGGUUUGUCGAUGAAACGAAUAUAUAACUGAUGAGUUGACAUCCCUAUUCAAGGCGAUAAAUGUUG